rnacentral:rRNA from 1 species
UAGUGGCGGACGGGUGAGUAACMCGUGGGCAACCUGCCCUACAGCCUGGGAUACCAUCGGGAAACUGAUGUUAAUACCGGAUACGCUCUUUUGAUCGCAUGAUCUAAGGAGGAAAGAUUUAUCGCUGUAGGAUGGGCCCGCGGUCCAUUAGCUAGUUGGUAGGGUAACGGCCUACCAAGGCGACGAUGGAUAGCUGGUCUGAGAGGACGAUCAGCCACACUGGGACUGAGACACGGCCCAGACUCYUACGGGAGGCAGCAGUGGGGAAUAUUGCGCAAUGGGGGCAACCCUGACGCAGCAAUGCCGCGUGAAGGAUGAAGGCUUUCGGGUCGUAAACUUCUGUCUAGAGGGAUGAAUUUUGACAGUACCUCUGGAGGAAGCCCCGGCUAACUACGUGCCAGCAGCCGCGGUAAUACGUAGGGGGCAAGCGUUGUCCGGAAUCACUGGGCGUAAAGCGCGCGUAGGUGGUCUAGUAAGUCAGAUGUUAAAAUGCGGGGCUCAACCCCGUAAUGCAUUUGAAACUGCUGGACUUGAGGACAGGAGAGGAAAGUGGAAUUCCUAGUGUAGCGGUGAAAUGCGUAGAUAUUAGGAGGAACACCAGUGGCGAAGGCGACUUUCUGGACUGUACCUGACACU